AGCAGCCGCGGUAAUUCCAGCUCCAAUAGCGUAUAUUAAAGUUGUUGCAGUUAAAAAGCUCGUAGUUGAAUUUCGGGAUUGACACAUCGGUCGUGCCUUAAGGGGUAUGAACUGGUGUAGUCAAUUUCUCACCUUCUGGAGAACCGCGAUGUCCUUAAUUGGGUGCCGCGGGGAACCAGGACCUUUACUUUGAAAAAAUUAGAGUGUUUAAAGCAGGCAUUUUGCUUGAAUACAUUAGCAUGGAAUAAUAAAAUAGGACGGAUGAUUCUAUUUUGUUGGUUUCUAGGACCACCGUAAUGAUUAAUAGGGAUAGUUGGGGGCAUUAGUAUUCAAUUGUCAGAGGUGAAAUUCUUGGAUUUAUUGAAGACUAACUACUGCGAAAGCAUUUGCCAAGGAUGUUUUCAUUAAUCAAGAACGAAAGUUAGGGGAUCGAAGACGAUCAGAUACCGUCGUAGUCUUAACCAUAAACUAUGCCGACUAGGAAUCAGACGAUGUUAAUUUUUUAAUGACUCGUUUGGCACCUUACG
rnacentral:rRNA from 1 species